GGGUUAUGAUGUCCAAACUCACGAUGGUCUGCAGAGUCCCCGAGCUGCGGGGCUGCUGACAAUGCCACCGGCACACACUGAACCCCGGGG